UGAAAUUAAUUGACGUAGAGCUUUGUAAGACUACUUUAUCAACCUAAACUGAUUUAUUGUUUCUAUUUAGUGACCCUUUAAAAGGAAUGACG
rnacentral:lncRNA from 1 species